rnacentral:rRNA from 1 species
GUGCCAGCCGCCGCGGUAAUACGAAGGGGGCUAGCGUUGUUCGGAAUCACUGGGCGUAAAGCGCACGUAGGCGGAUGUGCCAGUCAGGGGUGAAAUCCCGGAGCUCAACUUCGGAACUGCCUCUGAUACAGCACGUCUUGAGUCCGGAGGAGGUGGGUGGAAUUCCUAGUGUAGAGGUGAAAUUCGUAGAUAUUAGGAAGAACACCGGUGGCGAAGGCGGCCCACUGGUCCGGUACUGACGCUGAGGUGCGAAAGCGUGGGAGCAAACAGGAUUAG